UACGGGGGGGGCAAGCGUUGUUCGGAAUUACUGGGCGUAAAGGGCUCGUAGGCGGCCAACUAAGUCAGACGUGAAAUCCCUCGGCUUAACCGGGGAACUGCGUCUGAUACUGGAUGGCUUGAGUUCGGGAGAGGGAUGCGGAAUUCCAGGUGUAGCGGUGAAAUGCGUAGAUAUCUGGAGGAACACCGGUGGCGAAGGCGGCAUCCUGGACCGACACUGACGCUGAGGAGCGAAGCCAGGGAGCAAACGGG
rnacentral:rRNA from 1 species